rnacentral:rRNA from 1 species
GACGAACGCUGGCGGUAUGCCUAAUACAUGCAAGUCGUACGAGAAAAUUUGCUUCGGUGAAUGAGUAAAGUGGCGAACGGGUGAGUAACGCGUAGGUAAUCUACCUUUUAGUCGGGGAUAAACACUGGAAACGGUGCCUAAUACCGGAUGUGAACUUUUGCCUCAUGGCGAGAUGUUAAAGUUUGAGUAACGCUAAAAGAUGAGCCUGCGUCGCAUUAGUUAGUUGGUAAGGUAAUGGCUUACCAAGACUACGAUGCGUAGCGGAUUUGAGAGAGUGAUCCGCCACACUGGGACUGAGAUACGGCCCAG